rnacentral:tRNA from 1 species
GGGGAUGUAGCUCAGUGGUAGAGCACUUGCCCAUCAUGCGUGAAGCCCUGGGUACAAUCCCCAGCACUACCC